GUGGGUUUUGGCCACGAGCUGCGCCCACUUCGAGGCUUCCAGCCUCGCGGCGUACGGGACGGCCGCUAAGGCCGUGAUCACCAAAUUUUGGGAAUUCUAUAGAGUUCUUGACGAGCACAAGGCCAUAGCCGACGGGGUCUUGCUGGCGGCUGCGAAGAAUAAAGCUCGUUAGUUCCUGUACGAGGUGCGUUGGGUUGCCGUCUCGCACUACUAUCACACCUACCUUAAUCAAAAGAUGAGCAAAAAUGAAGCGCAGAAGCAACGACUUACCUUGAACAGGGAGCAGUACAUGAUGGUUAUUCCUAAAUGGUGCUUGGGAAAGGGUGAUGGAUGGGC